GCCUGGGUGGCUCAGUCGGUUGAGCGUCUGACUUCAGCUCAGGUCACGAUCUCGCAGUCUGUGAGUUCGAGCCCCGCUUCGGGCU
rnacentral:tRNA from 1 species